rnacentral:rRNA from 1 species
AAAUUGAUCUCCCCGUGCAGAAGCUGGGAUAAUACCAUAAGACGAGAAGACCCUAUGGAGCUUUAGACAUAUCAGGUUUACGUCACUGCCCCCUAGAUAAAGGAGUGAACUAAUUAUAUACCUUGAAAAUGUUUUUGGUUGGGGCGACCACGGGAAAAGAAAUAACUCCCACGGCGAAGAAGUACAAACUUUUAAAGCUAAGACAAUCAAGUUUAAGCCAUAGAAAUUCUAACAAAUGAUCCGGCUUGCCGAUCAACGAAACGAGUUACCCUAGGGAUAACAGCGCAAUCCCCUUUAAGAGACCUUAUCAGCAAGGGGGUUUACGACCUCGAUGUUGGAUCAGGACAUCCUAAUGGUGCAGCCGCUAUUAAGGGUUCGUUUG